rnacentral:rRNA from 1 species
UUCUGCCGGGUUAUUAACCGGGUUCACCGACUAUAUCCGCAUGGAGUUUUGGGAUCCGGAGGUAUAUAUUGAACUGAGAGGCGUUAAGGGACAGAGGCGGCGGCGUCGAAGGCAGAGGGCCUAAAGCGGCGGCGGCGUCGGCGUCGUCGAGCGGCGGGUGCGGAGGAUGGGCAGCUGCUCUACUGCUUCGCGUGGUUCUUCCGACCUUAACAGCCGUUUAUACCAUGGGCAAUACCACGGUCAAACGCAUUCGUCUAGUUCUUCUACCUCCACAGAGUCGUGAGGUUCAUGAAGACACUCAAGACACCCUUCAAACGACACUUCUCCUUUCGUCAACCUUAAACCCCUACGUUCCUGACACCCUUCCACUUCCGACCGCCACGAAUGUGGUACUUGUGACGGUCACGCCAGUGACAGUCCUCGUGAUAGGCAGCGAACUCCCUCGUCUGACUUCGUAUUCAACGAUGAUCACAAAACAGGAUCACUUAGUAGACCCUAAAACGUCAAAUCUGCUAUGAAACCUAAGUCAAGACAACCGACAAAUCAGUUCCUAAUAGAAACAUGAACCACGCUACUACAAGACAAUACAAUAAGAGAGUGGGAAAAAAACGGACUCUAAAUGACACCUAAGACUAAACGGAAGACGAUAGGCACGAGAUUAUAAACGUGUUCGCUCUACACUGG